AUGCAAGUCGAACGAUAGCUUUGAAGAGUUACUUUUAAAGUGACAGUGGCGGACGAGCGAGUAACACGUAAGUAGUUGCCCUGUACUCGGGGACAACCAGUCGAAAGAUUGGCUAAUACCGGAUGGUCUCGAAAGAGUAAAGAUUUAUCGGUACAGGAGACGCUUGCGGCCUAUCAGCUAGUUGGUGAGGUAAAGGCUUACCAAGGCUAUGACGGGUACCUGGUGUGAGAGCAUGACCAGGCGCGAUGGGACUGAGACACGGCCCAUACUCC
rnacentral:rRNA from 1 species